rnacentral:rRNA from 1 species
AUGCGGAAGCCACCAAGCUCGGAGUCGAAGGCCGCAAAGAGGAGGCGAUCUGGUCCCAUUGCUUCGCCGGCAUCUGCUACUGCCCGGACACGGGCACACAAGUGCACAGAGCCAGCACGCUCCAGAGAAGUUGCUGAUAAUCGUGAUUAUGAGUAUGAAGAGGAUGAGUUUGAUAUGGAUGAUGAAAUGUCUGAGGAAAGCUUACCUCCACAUGUGAUGAUUGAUUCUGGAAGUGAGGGCCAGCAAGAACAUGGGCCAGUUGAUGGUGUAUCCUCCGAGCCGAAGAAGAGCCGUAGAAGGAAAAAGGGUAUUGCAGUGUCUCCCAAGGUGAAAAAAAGAGGGUGA